UUGACAUUGAAAUCUAUGAAAAAUAGGGAGUAUGUGUUCAUUUGAAAAUACAACAGCUACCAUUUUGUUUCAGGAUAGCAAACUUAACCAGAAAUUUAUACCAUCUUGUAUCUUGGUCAUGCUAGUAAUGUAUAAAAUUUGAUCAAUAUCAACAAUUCUUAGGUCGUGGAACAAAUUGAAAAUUCCAGCCUAUUUUCUCUCUAGAUGUUGUGUGACAUCAGUCUUCCAGUGCACUGAUUCUUUCCUCUGUGUCUUUGAUCCUCCAGUUGACUCCAUCCAUUGUUCAGUUGAAGAUCUAACUGGUUCUUGGUGUGAUGAAUGAUAUUUACUAGAAACCUGGACAUUUUGGGCACCAUGUUAUGAGACUCUGGUGCCUACAUCAGCCUUCUGUUUUAACAGGCCUCCUCUGAAGUGUCAAAGCAGGCCUGUUCCAGCAGACAGAGGUAGGGCCCCUCCUUGAUCACCUCAGAUGGAUACAACUCUAGGUUCUUCAUUGUACUUUCCUGAUGUGGAUAUUGCUAGGGCCACAGUUUUUUCUGUGCUAUUUGGCUGGAGUAGAAGGUUAUUGUCUAAACAUUUUCUAUCUUGCUAGGCUGCCUUUUUUUCUUAUCCUUUGACCUUUGACUAGAGAGAGCCAGCUUUUUUUUUUUUUUUUUUUUUUUGAGAGCCAGCUUUUAUUGGGACUUAUUUCUUUCUCUUAUUUUUGUCUGCACCUUUUGGCGUUCCCAAUUGCCACAUUCUUCAGCUCCAGGUUUGAGAUGUAUGAGGUAAAAAGAAAAUCCGGAGAAGCCACCACUGUAUUGUUCCUUGGGUCCCAAGGUCCCUGGCCACUGUUUUGUCAUCUCUCCAUCUUUCAGAAAUUUCUUAUGAUUGUUUUAUACAUAAUCUCUCAAGUUUUUAAUUGUUCUUAAUGAGACAAAGAGGGAAAAGAAAAGUACAUCUUAUGGGAAGCAGCAAUUAUUAUUUUCUUAUUUGCCAAACUACAUCUUUAGUCAGGGGAGGUAAGAUCAGUAGAGAAAAUGAGUGUUCUUUCUACGUAAUUGCUUUCUUCCCACUUAUAGCACAAUGAUCAGAUAUGCUGGAAAAAUCAUCAAGGUGUGGAAAUCAUUUUGACAUAAAUUUUCCUUUUUCAGGAACUCAAACCAAAUAGUGUAUAAUUUCAUUUAAAUCAGAAGUUGUGUGCAGCUCCUGAUUUUGCCCAUGAUCAGAUUAAAAGUCAUUGCUUUAGAGAUACAACUUAGUCACUUUAUAAAUGAGAUCUAAAGAGCAGCAAGCUUGAAAGUGGAAGUAACAUCUACUGUAGUCCCAAAGGGAAAGUAAUUGACUCUCAAUUCAGUUUUUCCUCCCAUUGUACUAUUUGCUUCUCAUAACUGUUUACUUCUACAGUUUCUUUUGUUGGGAUUUUUAAGAAAACUAUAUAAAUCAGCAAGGAAUCAUUUUAUUACAAAUAACAAAACCAUCCUUUUGUGGUUUAAAUAGAGAUGUAUCUGUAUCAUACAACCAAAUCCUUUACCUCUUAGAAAAAAGAGGGAAUAAAUGAAUAAAUACACAAACCCCAUGUAGUUAUACCUCCUACACACACACACACACACACACACACACACACACGAUCAACUGUCAAUGCUGAGAGAUUGAGUAAGAUGAGGACUGAGAAUCAACCUUUGCAGUUGAAUGUGGAAGUGUACUGUCUUUGGCUAAGGCCAUUUCAGUGGAGUUCUGGGAACAUCCUAAUGUGAAUAGUCCCAACAGAAUGAUUUGUGAUGAGAGUGUAAACUAGCAAGUAUAGAUGACUCUUGAGGUGUUUUGCUAUAAAGUCGGGCAGAGAACUGGUAGAAGAGCUGAAGGAGGGUGUGGGGCAUUUUUGUGUGCUUAAGAUUUAAGCUAUUACAGCAUGUUAUUUAUUUCAGAGAGACAGAGCAUGCAGUGGGGAGAGGGACAAAGGGAGAGGAAGAAAGAAUCUCAAGCGGACUCCUUUCUCAGUGCAGAGUGAGUCACAGCACUUGAUCUUAUAACCCUGACAUCAUGACCUGAGCCAAAAUCAAGAGUUGGAUAUUCAGCUGACUGAGCCACCCAGGCACCCGUAAAGAAUGUUUGUAAGCUGAGAGGAUUGAUUUAUGUUAAGACUAAAAAAAAAAAAAAAAAAAAUUGAUGAUACAAGGA